UACGAAGGGGGGCUAGCGUUGCUCGGAAUCACUGGGCGUAAAGGGUGCGUAGGCGGGUCUUUAAGUCAGGGGUGAAAUCCUGGAGCUCAACUCCAGAACUGCCUUUGAUACUGAAGAUCUUGAGUUCGGGAGAGGUGAGUGGAACUGCGAGUGUAGAGGUGAAAUUCGUAGAUAUUCGCAAGAACACCAGUGGCGAAGGCGGCUCACUGGCCCGAUACUGACGCUGAGGCGCGAA
rnacentral:rRNA from 1 species